rnacentral:rRNA from 1 species
UACAGAGGUCUCAAGCGUUGUUCGGAUUCAUUGGGCGUAAAGGGUGCGUAGGCGGCGCGGUAAGUCGGGUGUGAAAUCUCGGAGCUUAACUCCGAAACUGCAUUCGAUACUGCCGUGCUUGAGGACUGGAGAGGAGACUGGAAUUCCCGGUGUAGCGGUGAAAUGCGCAGAUAUCGGGAAGAACACCCGUGGCGAAGGCGGUUCUCUGGGCCUUUCCUGACGCUGAGACGCGAAAGCGUGGGGAGCGAACCGG